AAAAAAAAAAAAAAAAAGCUAAAUGAGUGAAUUAAAAAGACACGGGUUCCACAAAAAAAAAAGGAUUGUGACAGAAAAGGCUGUUAUUAUUAAAACUUGUCAGACUGCCCCAUCUGAAAGAAAAGAAGAUACAGGUUCCCGGGCACUAACUAAGAUGAAAUACUUCUCAUAGUAAGGGUUACAUGCUCUCAAUUAUACUUUACUGUUUGCCACAGCUCUUCUCUGCCAAAGCAAAGAUAAACAAAUUAACUUCCUCAGAGUGACUUAAGAUAUGGGAUAAAGAUGCUUCCAGGAAACAUCUGAGCCCUGGAGUGACAGUAUGCCUGGAAGACUCCAUCAUAAAUAAUAUUAACUCUGACCUGUUCGAAAUGGCUUUAUGAUUUAAAAAUUUUAGUUCAUUGCAUGCUGAGAAGCAUUUGACAGAUACCCUCCAGUUAAAGGAGUAGGCUCUCAUCAAGUCAACAGAAAGCGUCUCCCCUAGCCCAUUUCCAGAGGGUGUAGGUUGGUUUAAUCAUUGAUAAUAUUCUUCAUAUAUGGAACUUUUGCACCUGACUUUCUAUCCUGGAGGCACACACGAGUUUUUCAAGGAUGGCUUUGUCAACCACAGACUUGCAUGUCAAGCAUCUAUGCGUGCUGGUCGUGUUUUGUGCCGUGUGGUGUGUCACCAAGAAACAGAAGUAGCAAGUGGGCUGUGUCCGUAUGGAUGCCUCAUGUGAAAAUGAUUUAAAGCUACCAGCCGGACCGCAUAGAAAUCCAGUCUCCAUUGCAUUAGGCUCAAGGCAACUGAAUUGCACAGUGGACCAGGCUUUUUGAGAAGCAAAUAUAAGCAAAGUAUGUGUCAAGUAGUAUUUUUACAAAAACAUUUUCCUCCUUUCUCCCGACAUGCCACUGCCAUCGGCGAAGCGCAUACGUCCUCUGUUCUGAUCCUGGCAGCUCACGGCAAUCAUCUCUGGCAGGUAGAGGAGAGCCCGGUCGCCUUUAAGUCAGGAAGAGGACGGAGAGAGCGGACAUGGGCGUCGUGCUCUCCCCCUUCCUCCGUUCCAAGUUGGGGCGAGGGGCGUUGGACACGUGAUUGAACACGUUCUGUGCGAUGCGCGGGUGAUGAGCCACGGUCGUCUGGACAGUAAACCGAGCGAGAAUUCCCAUGGGGUUCGAAGCAGAAGCGAAGAAAAGCUCUAGCGCCAUCUGGUGGCCGCGUGCCCGCCACGGCCCGAGCGCCCGGCCCGCGCCCUGUCCCCCAGUCCUCCCGGGGCGUCGGCGCUGUGCCCCCGCUAGCCGGCCGCCGGGAGCAAACCGCCCAGAGAGCCAGACUUAGGGGCUCGACGUCCCCCGAACACACUUCAGUGGGCGACCAUCACCUUCCUCUCCAGGGUCUGGGGACCACUGCUCAGAACUGGUCUUAAUGAUCUCAGCCUCCCGUUGGGGCCUAGGAGCCACCUGGUAAGAAUGGGCCUAGCUUGUCUGCUGUGGUGGGAGGACGUCCCCACUCUGAAGAUUUUUUUUGACUGCUUUGUGCCUCCAUUCUCUCCCAGGUGGACCAAGGGACGGCCUACAAUGGCUUUCUUCCUAGACAGAAACGCCGCUAGGUCACCACUCAUGUUAUAUAGUCAGAAGCCUUGCUUUAAAAAUUAGAUUGCAAAGUAGAGUAUAUCUCAUAUAAUUAAACAUGGUUUUUUUCCCCAAUCGUUUUUGUGAGUUUAUUACAAAUGGACUAAUUUUGCUGUAAGCAAAAUGUCUUUUAUUAUGCUGACAAUGUAUAAACAGAGAUUAAAGGUUUUUCCCUGAGAAUAGUUUGAAAUACCAACAUGGAAGAAUGACGAGUAGUUUCACUGAUGGCCGUGCUGUUUGCAGCGGCCCCCUCUGAAGCGAGGAGUCUGGGUCAGGACUUUCCCCCAGUAGAGACGUUGUAACAAUUACACUGAAUUCAGGAGACUUCCUUUAAAUAAGCAAAUGUUUCCAGUAACAACGGAAUGUAAACAUGACUCCAGUUAGUGAAUUUACUACUAUCUCUUUCCUAUCUGUGAUUUUAGCUGCGUUCAGCUAAAAGAGUAAAAUUUCUCUAGCU
ensembl:lncRNA